GCGCAAUUAGCUCAGUUGGAUAGAGCGUUAGCCUCCGGAGCUAAAGGCCGCAGGUUCGAUUCCUGCAUUGCGCACCA
rnacentral:tRNA from 1 species